AGAGUUUGAUCAUGGCUCAGGAUGAACGCUGGCGGUCUGCUUAACACAUGCAAGUCGAACGGAACUUUUCGGAGUUCAGUGGCGGACGGGUGAGUAACGCGUGAGAAUCUGCCUUCUGGUCGGGGACAACCACUGGAAACGGUGGCUAAUACCGGAUGAGCCUACGGGUAAAAGAUUUAUUGCCAGAAGAGGAGCUCGCGUCUGAUUAGCUAGUUGGUGAGGUAAAGGCUCACCAAGGCAUCGAUCAGUAGCUGGUCUGAGAGGAUGACCAGCCACACUGGGACUGAGACACGGCCCAGACUCCUACGGGAGGCAGCAGUGGGGAAUUUUCCGCAAUGGGCGAAAGCCUGACGGAGCAAGACCGCGUGAGGGAGGAAGGCUCUUGGGUUGUAAACCUCUUUUCUUGGGGAAGAAAAAAAUGACGGUACCCAAGGAAUCAGCAUCGGCUAACUCCGUGCCAGCAGCCGCGGUAAUACGGAGGAUGCAAGCGUUAUCCGGAAUUAUUGGGCGUAAAGCGUCCGCAGGUGGCACUUCAAGUCUGCUGUCAAAGGUCGGGGCUUAACCCCGGGAAGGCAGUGGAAACUGAAGCGCUAGAGUGUCGUAGGGGUAGAGGGAAUUCCCGGUGUAGCGGUGAAAUGCGUAGAGAUCGGGAAGAACAUCGGUGGCGAAAGCGCUCUACUGGACGACAACUGACACUCAGGGACGAAAGCUAGGGGAGCGAAUGGGAUUAGAUACCCCGGUAGUCC
rnacentral:rRNA from 1 species